UGGAGAGUUGUCCGAGCUGGCCGAAGGAGCAGCAUUGGAAAUGCUGUAUACGGGUUAAAGCCUGUAUCAAGGGUUCGAAUCCCUUACUCUCCGU
rnacentral:tRNA from 2 species